GGUAGCAUCUUGUGGGCCAAUUUUGGAACAUGCCACUGCUAAAGCCUUUUCAAUGAUCAGAAUAAAGGGAUAAAAGAAGAAUGAAGGAAUCCUAAUUAAAGGGAUCAAACAUCUCAGGACUUCAAGGUGAACGUGUGUUAAAUGCUGAAUCACUGACCAUGGAUGAACAUCCCCAAGGUCCUCAUGAGACAAGAGUUUUGAUUCCCUACUAUCCCUUUUUCCUCUUUAAACCUACAUGAUAUGAAGGAAGUCUUCCACCUGGAAAUAUCUUUCUGGAUGAUUAAAAAGGUUUAAAAGGGAGUAUGAGUGUUCAGUGGGGAGCAACCACC